rnacentral:rRNA from 3 species
UUGAUCCUGGCUCAGGACGAACGCUGGCGGCGUGCCUAAUACAUGCAAGUCGAGCGAACCACUUCGGUGGUUAGCGGCGGACGGGUGAGUAACACGUGGGCAACCUGCCUGUAAGACUGGGAUAACUUCGGGAAACCGGAGCUAAUACCGGAUAAUCCUUUUCCUCUCAUGAGGRAAAGCUGAAAGACGGUUUCGGCUGUCACUUACAGAUGGGCCCGCGGCGCAUUAGCUAGUUGGUGAGGUAACGGCUCACCAAGGCGACGAUGCGUAGCCGACCUGAGAGGGUGAUCGGCCACACUGGGACUGAGACACGGCCCAGACUCCUACGGGAGGCAGCAGUAGGGAAUCUUCCACAAUGGACGAAAGUCUGAUGGAGCAACGCCGCGUGAGCGAUGAAGGCCUUCGGGUCGUAAAGCUCUGUUGUUAGGGAAGAACAAGUACCGGAGUAACUGCC